AGUGAACGCUGGCGGUAGGCCUAACACAUGCAAGUCGAACGGCAGCACAGUAAGAGCUUGCUCUUACGGGUGGCGAGUGGCGGACGGGUGAGGAAUACAUCGGAAUCUACUUUUUCGUGGGGGAUAACGUAGGGAAACUUACGCUAAUAUCGCAUACGACCUACGGGUGAAAGCAGGGGAUCUUCGGACCUUGCGCGAUUGAAUGAGCCGAUGUCGGAUUAGCUAGUUGGCGGGGUAAAGGCCCACCAAGGCGACGAUCCGUAGCUGGUCUGAGAGGAUGAUCAGCCACACUGGAACUGAGACACGGUCCAGACUCCUACGGGAGGCAGCAGUGGGGAAUAUUGGACAAUGGGCGCAAGCCUGAUCCAGCCAUACCGCGUGGGUGAAGAAGGCCUUCGGGUUGUAAAGCCCUUUUGUUGGGAAAGAAAAGCAGUAGGUUAAUACCCCGCUGUUCUGACGGUACCCAAAGAAUAAGCACCGGCUAACUUCGUG
rnacentral:rRNA from 1 species